GACGAACGCUGGCGGCGUGCUUAACACAUGCAAGUCGAACGGAAAGGCCCUGCUUUUGUGGGGUGCUCGAGUGGCGAACGGGUGAGUAACACGUGAGUAACCUGCCCUUGACUUUGUGAUAACUUCAGGAAACUGGGGCUAAUACCGGAUAGGAGCUCCUGCUGCAUGGUGGGGGUUGGAAAGUUUCGGCGGUUGGGGAUGGACUCGCGGCUUAUCAGCUUGUUGGUGGGGUAGUGGCUUACCAAGGCUUUGACGGGUAGCCGGCCUGAGAGGGUGACCGGCCACAUUGGGACUGAGAGACGGCCCAGAAUGCUACGGGAGGCAGCAGGGGGGAAUAUUGCACAAUGGGCGGAAGCCUGAUGCAGCAACGCCGCGUGCGGGAUGACGGCCUUCGGGUUGUAAACCGCUUUCGCCUGUGACGAAGAGUGAGUGACGGUAAUGGGUAAAGAAGCACCGGCUAACUACGUG
rnacentral:rRNA from 1 species